GAUGAACGCUGGCGGCGUGCCUAAUACAUGCAAGUCGAGCGAACAGACGAGGAGCUUGCUCCUCUGACGUUAGCGGCGGACGGGUGAGUAACACGUGGAUAACCUACCUAUAAGACUGGGAUAACUUCGGGAAACCGGAGCUAAUACCGGAUAAUAUAUUGAACCGCAUGGUUCAUUAGUGAAAGACGGUUUUGCUGUCACUUAUAGAUGGAUCCGCGCCGCAUUAGCUAGUUGGUAAGGUAACGGCUUACCAAGGCAACGAUGCGUAGCCGACCUGAGAGGGUGAUCGGCCACACUGGAACUGAGACACGGUCCAGACGCCUACGGGAGGCAGCAGUAGGGAAUCUUCCGCAAAGGGCGAAAGCCUGACGGAGCAACGCCGCGUGAGUGAUGAAGGUCUUCGGAUCGUAAAACUCUGUUAUUAGGGAAGAACAAAUGUGUAAGUAACUAUGCACGUCUUGACGGUACCUAAUCAGAAAGCCACGGCUAACUACGUG
rnacentral:rRNA from 1 species